rfam:Pythium ultimum DAOM BR144 ctg_1117875579095, whole genome shotgun sequence.
GCCUGUAGCUCGGUUGGUAGAGUAUCGGCUUCGUGGUCGAGUGGUCCUGGGUUCGAUCCCCAGCAGCGGCG